AAGCAGCAGCUAUAUUCAUUCCUAGUUUGGGGAUUCAGAAGUAAUUUCCCCUGGGUGAUGAGUCUGGCAAAAAGCUGUAAUGGCUUUCCUGACAGCUUUUAAGGCCUUUAGAUGACGAGUAUCUGAACUUUGAGUUCUGGGCAUUUGAGGAGUUGGAGAGGACCUGAUCUUAGACCUACAUAAAUCAGGGGGCUAAUUGAGCAGUCUGGUUUUCUGCAAUGGUGCAUACCUCCAUGAGGAUAAAGAUUCUGGCUUCAAAUCAGCAUUCCUGGCUGUCUCUGAGGGUGAAGAGAAAGCAUGGACUUCAUCACUGCAACAAGAUUUUUUGUAAUUAGAGCUAUUGGCGUGCGUUGCAGCUGGUGCUGAAGCAAAACUGCCAGCUAGUUGGAUGUCUCUCCUCUGGGUUCCAGUGCUAGAUAAAGAGGUCUGAUCCAAGAGCCUUGAAUGGUGCUGGAGGAACCAUGCUACUGGAAGUUAUUUGAGAUGCUUCCUGGCAGAUAAGAAAAGUGAAAGCAUCCCUUGGUAGCCUGAGUGCAGAGUCAACAUCUGGAGAAUCUGAUGCUCUGGAAUUGAAGUGCCUCACAACGCUUUCUGAAGGCAGUGAUUCCAGAAUUUGCUUUUGAUGGUAGAAAUAUCUGUGGUGCUGCAAGAAUGCAAUCUCCAGGAAGCAAUCUUAUAAAAGAUUAGGGUAGAGCUCGGCUCUGAAAAAUAACCACGCAUAAAAAUGUAUGAGUCCAUAGUUACGGCGUUUCGUGUUUACUUGGGAUCUGUAUGUGAAGCUGUGAUUUCUCCUUGAAUUUGCAUUGUCGCCAGUAAAUAAAACGUUACGAAGGACUGGGAUGGGAACGGGAUGUUAUGGUGGAAUGGGGAGAGCAGACUGCCAUCUUUGUUCUCUCUCCCGGUGGUGCCUUUUUUUUUUUUGAGACUAACAAGUGAAAGGUAGCAAGGAUCUAUUUCAGCCACCUGAAGUCAGCAGAUGUGACAGUUCACUGAGCGAGCAGAGCGUCUGUGCGAGAAGGUGCUGCAUUCACAGUCAAUUUUCAGUGCAGAACUUCGCUGGAAUUUCUCACUGCCAGGAAGAGAUGACUGUUUUGAGGAAAGGCACGUGUGUUCUCCCCCAGGAAUAACAGCUGUCUGGACACAGGAAGGUGCUGCUGUACCUCAAUAAUGAGCCUAGCGGCAAAGCCUGGUGAAGACAAGAUAAACUUGUCUUGUACGUAUGGACAAGACUGGAGGUGAAAAAUGGCUCAUUCAGCUUUUCUCUUUCUGUGCUGAAAAUGCUGCAAACGCUUCCUUUAUCCUGGAGAAUUACUGGUGCACUUCUCAAAGACAGCACCAGCUGAACUCAAUGUGUUGUGUCCCAGUGAAGAGAGGACAACCAGCAAAACCUUUAGCUUGAAAGAAAAGCAGAAGUCUACACUGAGUACGCUCCACUGCCGCUACAUUAACAAAUAUAUGUAAUUCAUUAACAAAAUAUGUUAUUUACUGUUAUUUUACACUAUUGAGAGCCUAUUGGCACAGUAGCCCUAUUCAAAUUAACUGUGGAGUUCUCGGAACAGAAAGAAAUACCUUCUGAAAGGAAGCUGAGGCCAACGUGCUGCUUACAGCCGCACAGCAGCUUGACACCACUUCAGCCCAAGUUUCAAGCCGAACAGGCACUCAGCAGGAGAUAUAUUCAUUUUAAAUUAAACAUGCCAGGAAUCGGACUUCAAAGGGAACAAGAUGAAUUUGUUGUUUCCACAGUGGAAAUCCCUCUGUCUCCAUCAGUGAAUGUUGGCUCUGUGUUUUUCCUACUAAAAUUAAUUGCUAUCCGUGCUAAACUAGGGCAAUUAGGGCCUGAAAGCUCCUGCGCAGUGGGACCUGGUGGGGGAAUGAGGAGGGAGACAGGGGAAAAAAGGGUGACCAGCAGCAAGCCAGCCUUUAUCAGGCACGGAAAAACAACAGGGCCGUGAGAGAGCUCAGGAAAAGGAGGUCUGGUCUGGGUCUUCUUUUAUUAUUUAUUUCUAGCUAUAGUUGCAGAACACAGGAAAUCACUCACAUUUUAAAUUAAACCAUUGGUUGCCCUUUAUGUGAACUUGAGAUGUGUGAGAAGGAAGUGUGAAUGUAUUAGUAUAAAAUAAAUUGAUUUGUACUACAGAGUAAGCUUUCAUAAAUAAGGAGCUGUGUUUUGCUUGUCUUAUGCAGAUUGCAUUAUACUAUCGAGGUCAACAUCGUUUGCAAACAUACAAGCAAAUCUCAUGCAGGAAUUACUGGGUGAAGUGCAAUUCCCAGGAGUCUGUGGAAGUUCACCCACACUUCUCUGCAAAGCCCAGCAGCCCCAGUAGGCAGGCGGGGUCUCAGGGCUGUGCUGAGCCUCCUUUCCCUCUUUCCCCCCUCUUCCAGGUUCCAGAGAAGCACAACAGGUGAACCUUCCAGGGCUGCU
rnacentral:lncRNA from 7 species